rnacentral:rRNA from 1 species
UACGUAGGGGGCAAGCGUUGUCCGGAUUUAUUGGGCGUAAAGAGCGUGUAGGCGGCCAGAUAGGUCAGCUGUGAAAACUCGAGGCUCAACCUCGAGAUGUCGGUGGAAACUGCCUGGCUAGAGUCCGGAAGAGGAGUGUGGAAUUCCUGGUGUAGCGGUGAAAUGCGCAGAUAUCAGGAAGAACACCUAUGGCGAAGGCAGCACUCUGGGACGGUACUGACGCUGAGACGCGAAAGCGUGGGGAGCGAACAGG